UACAGAGGUCUCAAGCGUUGUUCGGAUUCAUUGGGCGUAAAGGGUGCGUAGGCGGUGAGGUAAGUUGGAUGUGAAAUCCCGGGGCCUAACCCCGGAACUGCAUUCAAUACUGCCUUGCUAGAGUACUGGAGAGGAGAUUGGAAUUCACGGUGUAGCAGUGAAAUGCGUAGAUAUCGUGAGGAAGACCAGUGGCGAAGGCGAAUCUCUGGACAGUAACUGACGCUGAGGCACGAAGGCCAGGGGAGCAAACGGG
rnacentral:rRNA from 1 species